GUUGGGAAGAGGAAGAAAAGACGGUCUGAGAGUGGUGGUGAUGGGAGCAUGGACGAAAGCAAAAACUCCCGCCUCUAGAAAUAGGGGCGCAGAUUUGUUCCCAUUUUUCCCGAUGCCUCCCAUGCCUAUUGUUCUGCGAUGCACCUUCCUCUUCCUUUUAACU
rnacentral:pre_miRNA from 1 species